rnacentral:rRNA from 1 species
UAGGUAGAUGAGGAGAGAAUCCUAAGGCCGGCGGAAGAAUUGCAGUUAAGGAACUAGGCAAAUUGACCCCGUAAGUUCGCGAGAAGGGGUGCCUGCGAGAGCAGGCCGCAGAGAAUAGGCCCAAGCAACUGUUUAGCAAAAACACAGGUCUCUGCUAAAGCGCAAGCUGAUGUAUAGGGGCUGACGCCUGCCCGGUGCUGGAAGGUUAAGGGGAAUACUUAGCGCAAGCGAAGGUAUGAACUUAAGCCCCAGUAAACGGCGGCCGUAACAAUAACGGUCCUAAGGUAGCGAAAUUCCUUGUCAGGUAAGUUCUGACCCGCACGAAUGGCGUAAUGACUUGGGCACUGUCACAACUGCAAAUCCGGCGAAGUUGUAGUGCGAGUGAAGAUGCUCGCUACCCGCGAUUGGACGGAAAGACCCCGUAGAGCUUUACUGCAGCUUAGCAUUGAAUUCCGGUAUUGUCUGUACAGGAUAGGUGGGAGACUGGGAAACUAGGGCGUCAGCCUUAGUGGAGUCAACCUUGGGAUACCACCCUGACAGUACUGGGGUUCUAACAGGACGCCAUGAAACUGGUGACUGGACAUUGUUAGGUGGGCAGUUUGACUGGGGCGGUCGCCUCCUAAAAAGUAACGGAGGCGCCCAAAGGUUCCCUCAGAACGGUCGGAAAUCGUUCGUAGAGUGCAAAGGCAAAAGGGAGCUUGACUGCGAGACCUACAAGUCGAGCAGGGACGAAAGUCGGGCUUAGUGAUCCGGUGGUACCUCGUGGGAGGGCCAUCGCUCAACGGAUAAAAGCUACCUCGGGGAUAACAGGCUGAUCUCCCCCAAGAGUCCACAUCGACGGGGAGGUUUGGCACCUCGAUGUCGGCUCGUCGCAUCCUGGGGCUGUAGUAGGUCCCAAGGGUUGGGCUGUUCGCCCAUUAAAGCGGCACGCGAGCUGGGUUCAGAACGUCGUGAGACAGUUCGGUCCCUAUCCGUCGCGGGCGUAGGAAAUUUGAGAGGAGCUGUCCUUAGUACGAGAGGACCGGGAUGGACUGACCUCUGGUGCACCAGUUGUUCCGCCAGGAGCACGGCUGGGUAGCUAAGUCGGGAAGGGAUAAACGCUGAAAGCAUCUAAGCGUGAAGCCUCCCUCAAGAUGAGAUUUCCCAUAGCAUAAGCUAGUAAGACCCCUUGAAGAACACAAGGUUGAUAGGUCAGAGGUGUAAGUGCGGUAACGUAUGUAGCUGACUGAUACUAAUAGGUCGAGGGCUUGAUC